CCUGCAGCAGGUUCCUUUCAUUUGGAAACAGUCUGCUGCCAAGGGUGACACCUGCGUGGAUUUGAAAAAGCAGAGGUCAAUGCGCGCUCCAGUGACUGUGCAUCCCGACGUGAUCAGGCGCAUCGCGCUUUUCUGGCUUUUCUAAAGUGCUUCAUUUCGAUGAAACGUCUUUUCAAGUUCCUAGACCCUACGACUGUCGCACUGCUCCUCACCGGCAACAUUCCCAAGAUCCAUCCAUCAGAGACGGCGAUGAAUUAUCCAGCCCCGUGGUGUAAGAAGCCCUGCAGUGCACUCAAAACAAUAAGGGUCGAACGCUAUGAAAGUGGCGCCUCCGCGUCAAAGCUACUGAAGGCAAAAUUUAAAGUACGGUUCACCAUGAUGCAGAUUGUUCCUGCAGGCAUUGUACCUGCAUACUCGAUCACAGCAAGUUGCAGGCGUGUCUAAGACCAGCUGCACAAUUCAUAGAAACUAUCGUAUAGGCAAGGCUAAACUAACAUGAAAAUGGGCAUGGUUUGCGAUUUGUGACAAGGAAUGUGCCACGACAUGAGGAGAGAGGCACGUAUUUGCCGCCGAAUAGAUAAUCAACGUUACCAACCACUUUUGGAGAAAAUGCCAGACUUGGCCGCUCAAAACCCUUCCACGAGCAUACGAGGCUCUCGCCUUUACCGUGUGUACAUAUAUUUCGUUCAACUACUCUUACAUAUAAUUUCAAAAAGACAUGAGUUUAUACAAACAAACAAGCGGUAAAUGAAGUACUGAAAGAACCAGACAGACUUUAUUCUACGUUUUCAAUUGUUUACGGUGUUACAAAUUGCGAAAUAUGUGCUUUCGUUUAGCUACCUUUAUUAGCAAGAUUCACAACUUGCAAAUUCUUGUUCAAGCUUAGAUUCUAUUAGUGAGAAUGCUCUAUAACCUGGAACGAUUCUCCCGCCUAAUUUAUCGCUUUGAAAAUUCGAAAAAAAGAAACCUGAACGUUAGGGUUGCUUUCUACAUGAA